GAUGAACGCUGGCGGCGUGCCUAACACAUGCAAGUCGAACGUGAGGGGGUAGCAAUAUCUCUGAAAGUGGCGCACGGGUGAGUAAUACGUAGGUGACCUGCCCUGGAGUGGGGGAUAACAGCUAGAAAUGGCUGCUAAUACCGCAUAAUACCGAGUGAUUGGGAAAUUGCACGGUAAAAACUCUGGUGCUUCAGGAGGGGCCUGCGGCCGAUUAGCUAGUUGGCGGGGUAAGAGCCCACCAAGGCAGUGAUCGGUAGCUGGUCUGAGAGGACGAUCAGCCACACGGGAACUGAGACACGGUCCCGACUCCUACGGGGGGCAGCAGUGAGGAAUAUUGGGCAAUGGGCGGAAGCCUGACCCAGCAACGCCGCGUGGAGGAAGACGGCCUUCGGUUGUAAACUCCUUUACGGGGUAAGAGGAAGGACGGUACCCGACGGAAUAAGUACACGGCUAACUACGUAGCCAGCAGCCGCGGUAAU
rnacentral:rRNA from 1 species